rnacentral:rRNA from 1 species
CCCUUAGAUGUUCUGGGCCGCACGCGCGCUACACUGACGCAUUCAACGAGUCUAAAACCUGGUCUGAUAGGGCUGGGUAAUCUUUUGAAUGUGCAUCGUGAUUGGGAUAGAUGAUUGCAAUUCUUCAUCUUCAACGAGGAAUGCCUAGUAAACGCAAGUCAUCAGCUUGCAUUGAUUACGUCCCUGCCCUUUGUACACACCGCCCGUCGCUCCUACCGAUUGAAUGUUCCGAUGAAUACCAUGGACUGAGAGUAUGAAUGGGUUCGCCUAUUUCUGCUUCUCGGGAAGUGGAGUAAAUCUUAACAUUUAGAGGAAGGAGAAGUCGUAACA